ACAGCAUCACUGCAGUCCACCGCUCAGCUGUCACACUCAACUACCCUGCGCCUCCAAUUCCAGGGAAACUUCCCAGAGCCAGUCGGCCCAACUCCUCCCGUCCACGACAUCCACGAUGAGUUACUACAUGGAUCCAGUUUCUUCCUACGCGGCCCUUCACCCCUGUGACCGUCUGGGUGCAAUGAGGCAGAGUGGAGGCGUAGCAGUAGGCCCUCAGACGCAGCUCCCAGGGGUGGUCCACCCACAGCAGCAGUACUAUCCAUCCCAGCCCCUCUUCCCCCAGGAUAUCCCCCUACAGGAGGUACCCAACGGACAUGAC